UACGGAGGGUGCAAGCGUUUAAUCGGAAUUACUGGGCGUAAAGCGUGCGUAGGCGGUUCGUUAAGUCUGUUGUGAAAGCCCCCGGGCUCAACCUGGGAAUGGCAAUGGAUACUGGCGAGCUAGAGUGUGUCAGAGGAUGGUGGAAUUCCCGGUGUAGCGGUGAAAUGCGUAGAGAUCGGGAGGAACAUCAGUGGCGAAGGCGGG
rnacentral:rRNA from 1 species